rnacentral:rRNA from 1 species
GACGAACGCUGGCGGCGUGUCUAAUACAUGCAAGUAGAACGCUGAAGAGAGGAGCUUACUCUUCUUGGAUGAGUUGCGAACGGGUGAGUAACGCGUAGGUAACCUGCCUUGUAGCGGGGGAUAACUAUUGGAAACGAUAGCUAAUACCGCAUAACAAUGGAUGACACAUGUCAUUUAUUUGAAAGGGGCAAUUGCUCCACUACAAGAUGGACCUGCGUUGUAUUAGCUAGUAGGUGAGGUAAUGGCUCACCUAGGCGACGAUACAUAGCCGACCUGAGAGGGUGAUCGGCCACACUGGGACUGAGACACGGCCCAGACUCCUACGGGAGGCAGCAGUAGGGAAUCUUCGGCAAUGGGGGCAACCCUGACCGAGCAACGCCGCGUGAGUGAAGAAGGUUUUCGGAUCGUAAAGCUCUGUUGUAAGUCAAGAACGGGUGUGAGAGUGGAAAGUUCACACUGUGACGGUAGCUUACCAGAAAGGGACGGCUAACUACGUG